rnacentral:rRNA from 1 species
UACAGAGGUCUCAAGCGUUGUUCGGAUUCAUUGGGCGUAAAGGGUGCGUAGGUGGCGCGGUAAGUCGGGUGUGAAAUCUUGGAGCUUAACUCCGAAACUGCAUUCGAUACUGCCGUGCUUGAGGACUGGAGAGGAGACUGGAAUUUACGGUGUAGCAGUGAAAUGCGUAGAGAUCGUAAGGAAGACCAGUGGCGAAGGCGGGUCGUCUGGACAGUUCCUGACACUGAGGCACGAAGGCCAGGGGAGCAAACGGG